rnacentral:siRNA from 1 species
UCAUAUAUGAGAGCAUUACGGAAA